rnacentral:rRNA from 1 species
AUUGAACGCUGGCGGCAGGCCUAACACAUGCAAGUCGAACGAGUGGCGGACGGGUGAGUAAUGUCUGGGAAACUGCCCGAUGGAUGGGGAUAACUACUGGAAACGGUAGCUAAUACCGCAUACCAUCGGAUGUUCCCAUAUGGGAUUCGCUAGUAGGUGGGGUAACGGCUCACCUAGGCGACGAUCCCGAGCUGGUCGGAGAGGAUGACCAGCAAAACUGGAACUGAGACACGGUCCAGACUCCUACGGGAGGCAGCAGUGGGGAAUAUUGCACAAUGGGCGCAAGCCUGAUGCAGCCAUGCCGCGUGUAUGAAGAAGGCCUUCGGGUUGUAAAGUACUUUCAGCGGGGAGGCGUUACCCGCAGAAGAAGCACCGGCUAACUCCGUGCCAGCAGCCGCGGUAAUAC